GACGAACGCUGGCGGCGUGCUUAACACAUGCAAGUCGAACGGAAAGGCCCUGCUUUUGUGGGGUGCUCGAGUGGCGAACGGGUGAGUAACACGUGAGUCACCUGCCCUUGACUCUGGGAUAACUUCAGGAAACUGGGGCUAAUACCGGAUAGGAGCUCCUGCUGCAUGGUGGGGGUUGGAACGUUUCGGCGGUUGGGGAUGGACUCGCGGCUUAUCAGCUUGUUGGUGGGGUAGUGGCUUACCAAGGCUUUGACGGGUAGCCGGCCUGAGAGGGUGACCGGCCACAUUGGGACUGAGAUACGGCCCAGACUCCUACGGGAGGCAGCAGUGGGGAAUAUUGCACAAUGGGCGGAAGCCUGAUGCAGCAACGCCGCGGGCGGGAUGACGGCCUUCGGGUUGUAAACCGCUUUCGCCUGGGACGAAGCGUGAGUGACGGUAAUGGGUAAAGAAGCACCGGCUAACUACGUG
rnacentral:rRNA from 1 species